ACCGAGGGGGACCCAGGAUCAAAUAUGUAUAUACUAGUACACAUACACAUCAGAAGAGGCCCAACAGGCUACAGGGGGCUCGAUCGCUCGGCUUCGGCAGUCGAAACGUCGCGGCGUCCAUCCAUUCGCAUUGCAGACCUCGCUGCCUUUUGUGGCCGCGGCCUCUCGGCCGCCCGCUCGGCGUCCGGCGGCCGCCGUCUGGUGAUCGGCUGAUUGUCUUCUACUGACCUGCCUCUGCACUCGUGACUCGUCCCCUCUACGGUAGCAAGCCAGCAACGUUUUGCAAUCAGCUAAGCAAAUCGGUGUUAGAAUGUUACCUAAGAAGCAUUUGUCGGGAUCUCAGAAAAGGAAAAAAAA